rnacentral:rRNA from 1 species
GACGAACGCUGGCGGCGUGCCUAAUACAUGCAAGUAGAACGCUGAAGGAGGAGCUUGCUUCUCUGGAUGAGUUGCGAACGGGUGAGUAACGCGUAGGUAACCUGCCUGGUAGCGGGGGAUAACUAUUGGAAACGAUAGCUAAUACCGCAUAAGAGUAGAUGUUGCAUGACAUUUGCUUAAAAGGUGCAAUUGCAUCACUACCAGAUGGACCUGCGUUGUAUUAGCUAGUUGGUGGGGUAACGGCUCACCAAGGCGACGAUACAUAGCCGACCUGAGAGGGUGAUCGGCCACACUGGGACUGAGACACGGCCCAGAAUCCUACGGGAGGCAGCAGUAGGGAAUCUUCGGCAAUGGACGGAAGUCUGACCGAGCAACGCCGCGUGAGUGAAGAAGGUUUUCGGAUCGUAAAGCUCUGUUGUAAGAGAAGAACGAGUGUGAGAGUGGAAAGUUCACACUGUGACGGUAUCUUACCAGAAGGGACGGCUAACUACGU